CCUACGGGGGGCAGCAGUGAGGAAUAUUGGUCAAUGGACGAGAGUCUGAACCAGCCAAGUAGCGUGAAGGAUGACUGCCCUAUGGGUUGUAAACUUCUUUUAUAUGGGAAUAAAAUGUUCCACGUGUGGGAUUUUGUAUGUACCAUAUGAAUAAGGAUCGGCUAACUCCGUGCCAGCAGCCGCGGUAAUACGGAGGAUCCGAGCGUUAUCCGGAUUUAUUGGGUUUGAAGGGAGCGUAGGUGGAUUGUUAAGUCAGUUGUGAAAGUUUGCGGCUCAACCGUAAAAUUGCAGUUGAAACUGGCAGUCUUGAGUACAGUAGAGGUGGGCGGAAUUGUGGUGUAGCGGUGAAAUGCUUAGAUAUCACGAAGAACUCCGAUUGCGAAGGCAGUUCACUGGACUGCAACUGACACUGAGGCUCGAAAGUGUGGGUAUCAAACAGGAUUAGAUACCCGAGUAGUC
rnacentral:rRNA from 1 species